rnacentral:rRNA from 1 species
UAUCUCUGUAGAGUCUGCAUAUCAAUAAGCGGAGGAAAAGAAACUAACUAAGGAUUCCCUCAGUAACGGCGAGUGAAGCGGGAAGAGCUCAAAUUUGAAAUCUUCAAGGUUCUACCUUGACGAAUUGUAGUUUAAAGAAGUGUUUUCUGUUGGAGUUUUGGUAAAAGUUCUUUGGAAUAGGACAUCAUAGAGGGUGAGAAAUCCCGUAUUUGACCAUUACUUUCCAGCGUUGUGAUACACUUUCAAAGAGUCGGGUUAUUUGGGAAUGCAGUCCAAAAUGGGUGGUAAAUUUCAUCUAAAGCUAAAUACUGGCGAGAGACCGAUAGCGAACAAGUACCGUGAGGGAAAGAUGAAAAGAACUUUGAAAAGAGAGUUAAACAGUACGUGAAAUUGUCAAAAGGGAAGCGUUUGACACCAGUGUUGUUUUCUCGAAAAUCAAUUAAAAAAGGCAGGAUUUUGUGUUGUAUUGACUUUAUCAGCUUUCUGCACUCUUUUCUUGUCUUUUUUAAUGCACUUUUCGUUUAACAAGUCAACAUCAAUUUCUUUUGUUGUAAAAGGGUCAUUGGAAGGUGGCUUUCUUUUCGGAGAAAGUGUUUAUAGCCUUUGGCCUCUGCAAUCGGAGAGAUUGAGGUCUGCAGCGUAGAUCCUUCGGGGUUAGAUACAUUUGUGCUAAGUUAUAGCCUUUCAUAGACAACUUGUUGACUAUGAUCAGUCAUGUAGCUUACUCGCCUAUGCUAUUUUACCUACGCUUAGGAUGUUGAUCUGUAGUGCGUGCGC